UAGGGAAUCUUCCGCAAUGGACGCAAGUCUGACGGAGCAACGCCGCGUGAGUGAAGAAGGAUUUCGGUUCGUAAAACUCUGUUGUUAGAGAAGAACAGCGCAUAGAGUAACUGUUAUGCGUGUGACGGUAUCUAACCAGAAAGCCACGGCUAACUACGUGCCAGCAGCCGCGGUAAUACGUAGGUGGCAAGCGUUGUCCGGAUUUAUUGGGCGUAAAGCGAGCGCAGGCGGUCAAUUAAGUCUGAUGUGAAAGCCCCCGGCUCAACCGGGGAGGGUCAUUGGAAACUGGUUGACUUGAGUGCAGAAGAGGAAAGUGGAAUUCCAUGUGUAGCGGUGAAAUGCGCAGAGAUAUGGAGGAACACCAGUGGCGAAGGCGACUUUCUGGUCUGUAACUGACGCUGAUGUGCGAAAGCGUGGGGAUCUAACAGG
rnacentral:rRNA from 1 species